UUGAUUGGUUCUCUCAAUGUCAUCUUCAAUUCUUACUACGCGGGACGGUACCGCGCUCUGAGCAGAGCGCUGCAGUUAGCGUCGUACGCGAAAAAUCUUCUAGUAAGGAACCUCAAUGAGAUCCAAUCCGUACAAAAGAGCGCACAACUACCGAUUCUAACUAAUAUAACGAUAAAAAACGACAAACUAGGAAAACACAUGAACACGAAACUAUCGAAGUUUCGUUAGCCGGUCUUAAAGUCAAAACUGUUAUCAAGAUUCAACUUCUCAAACAAAAAAAAAAACACAUAAUUCGAGUUGGUUUUCAGGACGGUACCACGCCCCUUUACUUGAUGCCGGGGACGUGUGCUCGCGCCCUGUUUUAAUGGAGUAACUGUUAUUAAAAAAAAAAAAAAACAACAAAAA